GCCGGUUCAACUUACAUGCGACUUAUCAACGAAAUUUCGUGGGUAAAUUGACAUCAGUUACGAAAUCGAAAGAGGAAGAUUGCAGAAAACAUGAGAUGCUGAAUCAUUUCACAUUUAGGCAACGAUGUUCAGAGUCGAAGAACCUUAUCAUGCAUGUACAGAUGUCAGUCGGGAAAAGGUGAUUUUCGCCGACAAGAUUUUAUAAUUUAUAUACCGAUGAACUUGUUGUUUAUAAGCAUAAAUCGAAAGCUUUUUGUGGCGUUGGACCGAACAUAUAAAUUAUAUUGGUCGCCAUACCGAAACCGACAAUAAAUUAAGUGUGCAUUGAAUUAAAUCCAAUUUCCAAGUAUAGUUUGGUGAUAAAUAUUGCUCUCUGUAUAAAGUCAGUUUAAUUAACAUAUAUUCGUUUCGUGCAUGCAUGUUUUCUCAGGAACUAAAAUGCAGAAGUACAAAGAUCAGGAACUCGUGGUUUAACGAGCAUAUAGCCUUUUCCUGUAUCAGUUUCCACAAUCAGCAGCAGAAUGUCGUGGUUAGUUCAUCGCUGGUUACUGUUAUAUGGUACAAUAUCAUUUGUGUUUAAAGGU
rnacentral:lncRNA from 1 species